rnacentral:rRNA from 1 species
GAUGAACGCUGGCGGCGUGCCUAAUACAUGCAAGUCGAACGCAUUGUGGUUGAAAUGAUAUGAAGAACUUGUUCAGAUUUGAUUUUCAACAUUGCAAUGAGUGGCGAACGGGUGAGUAACACGUGGGAAACCUACCUCUUAGCAGGGGAUAACAUUUGGAAACAAAUGCUAAUACCGUAUAAAUAAUUAAAACCGCAUGGUUUUAGUUUAAAAGAUGGUCUUGCUAUCACUAAGAGAUGGUCCCGCGGUGUAUUAGUUAGUUGGUGAGGUAAUGGCUCACCAAGACAAUGAUACAUAGCCGAGUUGAGAGACUGACCGGCCACAAUGGGACUGAGACACGGCCCAUACUCCUACGGGAGGCAGCAGUAGGGAAUCUUCCACAAUGGACGAAAGUCUGAUGGAGCAACGCCGCGUGUGUGAUGAGGGGUUUCGGCUCGUAAAACACUGUUGUAAGAGAAGAAUGACAUUGAGAGUAACUGUUCAAUGUGUGACGGUAUCUUACCAA